UUUUUUUAAUCUAUUGAACAAUUAUUGUUUUUUUUUAGUAGGGAGAUCGGAGAGUUGAACUCAAAUUUAACUCUGUCAAGUGAGUGAUAUGCUUACAGUCACUAAAUCAAGUUAUUGUUUAUCAAAGAUAAUUAUAAAAGAAAUGAAAAAUUACACAUCAUUAGUCUAUUAAUCAAGUGCUAUUCUCUCAUUUCUUGAAUUUCCACACUCUGAUUUCCCUGCCAUUGUGUGUAGUGACCACCUUCUUCAUCCCAACAGCCAAGCAUGUGAUGGAAGGUCGAAAACUUCGAGGAAUUUGGUCGACGCUGGCAUCGCGGGAGAGCCUUUUCCCUAUUCUUCUUUUGAUCACUCCAUGUGCAUAUCUAGAGGAGCUUGAUGAGGCAUCAUGAUCCAUAACAUAGCUUGAGAGAACCUCACCAGAGUCCUGAUCCAGAAUACGUAGCACACCAUCUAUUCCUCCAAUUACCAAAGUCGAUUUGUCAUUGCUCAGGUGCUGCAAAGAAUAUACAACAUUUGGACUCACUCGUGUCUCCCAUAAUCGUCUCAUCAUCCUGAGGUCAUAGCAAGAUGUAUAUCCAGCUGUUGUUCCCGCAAAUACUAGAUGAGAACAGGGGUUGAAACACAAAGUCUUUAUUCCUGUAGAAUCAGUGGGUCUCAGUGUAGUUUUCCACUGAUCAGAUGAAUAACCAGAUACUGUGAUCCUCCCUAGAGAGGAACCGCUAAGAAUUAACUGAUCAUCACCCAAAGAUAAGCAAGUCACGGGCUCCGGAUGCAUCCUAAUGAUUUUAGAACAUUUCCUACUGUACAUGUCAAAAACACGAACUGUGCCAUCCUCACAUCCAACAACAGCUUCUGGAUCAAGGUAACGCAUGCAUAGACCCUUCAUAUAUGUGCCUUGAUGAGAGGGAAAUGUACUCAUCUGCCCAUUGCGCCUCCAUAAGCAUAGCCGUGUGCCAAUCAAACCAACAAUCUUGCUCUCAUCGAAAUCAAAGUCAACUAAGGGGCAUGAAUCUGGGAUUGAAUAUUCUUCCACACAUUUGUAACUUUCUAAUGACCAAAGACGCAUAACCUUAUCACCUACACCAGUAAGAAUCAAGCCCAUCUUCAUUCGGCACUGGUCAGCCCUAACUGAAUGGGCUGUCCAUUGAUCAAUAUGAAUAGAAGGAGCUUCAAGUAAAGCUUGCCUAUGAUGCUCCAUAGCUAGCUCCUCUAGAUACCUACUCAGUGACUCCUCUAAACCGCUAGUACUACUUGAAAAUCCAACAGAAUUCUCCUUCAGCUGCUUCAAAUAAAGCACUUGAAGUAACUUUGAUCUUUUUAUUAUUGCAUUCC
rnacentral:misc_RNA from 1 species